UACGUAGGUGGCAAGCGUUGUCCGGAUUUACUGGGCGUAAAGAGCGCGCAGGCGGUCGGAUAAGUCGAAUGUGAAAGCCCCCGGCUCAACUGGGGAGGGUCAUUCGAUACUGUUCGACUCGAAGGCAGGAGAGGGAAGUGGAAUUCCCGGUGUAGUGGUGAAAUGCGUAGAUAUCGGGAGGAACACCAGUGGCGAAGGCGGCUCACUGGCCCGGUACUGACGCUGAGGAGCGAAAGCUGGGGGGAGCAAACAGG
rnacentral:rRNA from 1 species